UGUUCGUCAUCAUAAGCUCAUACUGAAAGACCCCCGGAGUGGGGAGACCCUCACUCAAGUCUCGGGAUGACGCAACCCCCCAAGAACUCACACAAGACU
rnacentral:pre_miRNA from 14 species